rnacentral:lncRNA from 1 species
UGCCUCUUUAAAUAAGUAGAAGAACUAUGUCAAGUAUUUAUCUAAUGAAGAAGUUGUUUGACAUAAAGGAAGUUAGCUUCAACAAUUAAUUUACGAAUACCAUUACUCAAAAUAAGGUUCAGACUCUAAAGGACACCAUAGACUUCAACUUUCAUCACAUGGUUUGUACCUAGAUUACUCAUGAAAUCACACACUCAACAACCCAUAUUGUAUCUAAUAAGAUCCUCAACAAUAGUAGGGUUAGGGUUGCCAUGAGUAGAACCAUCCGUAUUAAGCUUGAACCAUUUAGAAGGUG